rnacentral:tRNA from 1 species
GUUUAAAUAGCUUAAAUAAAGCAUAGCACUGAAAAUGCUAAGAUGGACCCUAAAAGGUCCUUUAAACA